rnacentral:tRNA from 1 species
GGAGAGAUGUCCGAGUGGUCGAAGGAGCACGCCUGGAGAGCGUGUAAGGGUGUAAGCCCUUCCAGGGUUCGAAUCCCUGUCUCUCCGCCA